rnacentral:rRNA from 1 species
CCUGCGGAAGGAUCAUUAAUGAAUUCACUAUGGAGUUGUUGCUGGCCUCUAGGGGCAUGUGCACGCUUCACUAGUCUUUCAACCACCUGUGAACUUUUGAUAGAUCUGUGAAGUCGUCUCUCAAGUCGUCAGACUUGGUUGCUGGGAUUUAAACGUCUCGGUGUGACUACGCAGUCUAUUUACUUAACACACCCCAAAUGUAUGUCUACGAAUGUCAUUUAAUGGGCCUUGUGCCUAUAAACCAUAAUACAACUUUCAACAACGGAUCUCUUGGCUCUCGCAUCGAUGAAGAACGCAGCGAAAUGCGAUAAGUAAUGUGAAUUGCAGAAUUCAGUGAAUCAUCGAAUCUUUGAACGCACCUUGCGCCCCUUGGUAUUCCGAGGGGCAUGCCUGUUUGAGUGUCAUUAAAUUCUCAAACUCACUUUGGUUUCUUUCCAAUUGUGAUGUUUGGAUUGUUGGGGGCUGCUGGCCUUGACAGGUCGGCUCCUCUUAAAUGCAUUAGCAGGACUUCUCAUUGCCUCUGCGCAUGAUGUGAUAAUUAUCACUCAUCAAUAGCACGCAUGAAUAGAGUCCAGCUCUCUAAUCGUCCGCAAGGACAAUUUGACAAUUUGACCUC